GCAGUUAUAGUUCCCGUACCCAACAAAGUACGCACGCAAUAAGAUGCUCCAGAUCUGGUUGUCAUAGAAGAUGAAAUUCGGGUAUGUGCAAGGACAGCCGGGAAGUACGACGAGGUGUUCUGAAACAUGAGUUACGGACUUCGAAGAAGAAAAUGGGACGUAGCGGUAUGUGUUUGAACGGUAUGAGUGGAAUGGACUGGAAUGGGAUACGCUCAACGAUGCGAGAGAUGGAACAUUUCUACUUCUGAGAAGCCGCGUGUUAUGCGAUCGUUGCCCAUUCAAUGGCGUAGCCAUUGUAUGAUGCCAGGAAGAACUCCUACUCCGUCUAACAAUAAGUUUAAAAUAAACGAAAACUAACAAGAA
rnacentral:lncRNA from 1 species